GAUGAACGCUGGCGGCGUGCCUAAUACAUGCAAGUCGAGCGAACGGACGAGAAGCUUGCUUCUCUGAUGUUAGCGGCGGACGGGUGAGUAACACGUGGAUAACCUACCUAUAAGACUGGGAUAACUUCGGGAAACCGGAGCUAAUACCGGAUAAUAUUUUGAACCGCAUGAUUCAAAAGUGAAAGACGGUCUUGCUGUCACUUAUAGAUGGAUCCGCGCUGCAUUAGCUAGUUGGUAAGGUAACGGCUUACCAAGGCAACGAUGCAUAGCCGACCUGAGAGGGUGAUCGGCCACACUGGAACUGAGACACGGUCCAGACUCCUACGGGAGGCAGCAGUAGGGAAUCUUCCGAAAUGGGCGAAAGCCUGACGGAGCAACGCCGCGUGAGUGAUGAAGGUCUUCGGAUCGUAAAACUCUGUUAUUAGGGAAGAACAUAUGUGUAAGUAACUGUGCACAUCUUGACGGUACCUAAUCAGAAAGCCACGGCGAACUACGU
rnacentral:rRNA from 1 species